AGCGCAGGUGGUUUGGUAAGCCAGGGGUGAAAGCCCACAGCUUAACUGUGGCACUGCCUUUGAUACUGCCUUUCUUGAGUGCAUGAGGGGGAAGCGGAAUUCCGAGUGUAGAGGUGAAAUUCGUAGAUAUUCGGAGGAACACCGGUGGCGAAGGCGGCUUCCUGGCAUGUAACUGACACUCAUGUUCGAAAGCGUGGGGAGCAAACAGGAUUAGAUACCCUGGUAGUCCACGCCCUAAACGAUGGGCACUAGGUGUGGGAGGUAUCGACCCCUUCCGUGCCGCAGCUAACGCAUUAAGUGCCCCGCCUGGGGAGUACGGCCGCAAGGUUGAA
rnacentral:rRNA from 1 species